UGGGGAAUAUUGGACAAUGGGCGAAAGCCUGAUCCAGCCAUGCCGCGUGUGUGAAGAAGGUCUUCGGAUUGUAAAGCACUUUAAGUUGGGAGGAAGGGCAUUAACCUAAUACGUUAGUGUUUUGACGUUACCGACAGAAUAAGCACCGGCUAACUCUGUGCCAGCAGCCGCGGUAAUACAGAGGGUGCAAGCGUUAAUCGGAAUUACUGGGCGUAAAGCGCGCGUAGGUGGUUUGUUAAGUUGGAUGUGAAAUCCACGGGCUCAACCUGGGAACUGCAUUCAAAACUGACUGACUAGAGUAUGGUAGAGGGUGGUGGAAUUUCCUGUGUAGCGGUGAAAUGCGUAGAUAUAGGAAGGAACACCAGUGGCGAAGGCGACCACCUGGACUAAUACUGACACUGAGGUGCGAAAGCGUGGGGAGCAAACA
rnacentral:rRNA from 1 species